rnacentral:lncRNA from 1 species
UCAGGGGCGGGGUUUUGAGAUGACAGAGGAAGAAGGAUUCAGAGGCCAGACAGACAGUCGCAUGUGUUGUGGGCAGGGCCAAUAGUACUCAGCUACCUGUGCCAUCUUUGUGAGGAAGCAGUCGAUGAAGUCCCGGGGAGAGUUGGGGUCCAGGGAAUCCUGGUGUUCGCGGACGCUGCGGGCAAUGAGAUCUUUCAUGCCUCCAAAGUUCCGGAACAAGCGUUUGUGUGGCCCAGCACCUCCAGCAGGAAGCUGCCUUCUUCCAGGAUCCGCUCCUCGAUGCUUCUUUUUCCCAUGCCAAAGUUCCGCAGGAUUUGGACAGAGAACCUUCUGAGGAUCUUCCAGCGCUCUCCAUCGGAGAAGGCGAUGCCUGGGAAGAGGAAAAGGAACGGCAAAUCCAACUGGCAACCAUUCCCAAAUCACAGCCACCGAGUCAUCUCUUCCUGCUCCAUCAGGAGGGGGAUUCUAAACUGACUCCGCAGUUCUUCCAGCAAAUCCUUCCCGACUCUUGGGACUGGACCAGGAGCCUGCUUUGGGCUCCACAGGACUCUGGGCUUUCCACUGAUCAUGCUGACUCUGUAUUCCCUUGUAACGACCUGUCACUUUGAGGUGUCAGAAGGCAGAGUAAAGACACAUUUUGUGUCAAAAUGACCUUUGAAUUGUCAUCAGACUUUGUUGAUUGUUUAUUGAUUAUUGAGUGCACAAAUAAGAUAUGUAAAUAAGAA